rnacentral:rRNA from 1 species
GACAAACAGGUCAAGUUAAGUUUAAUUGGUAUAAAAGGAAGUUAAAAUAUUGUUUAUUUAAAGAGUUUAAUUUACUGUAGAGAGGUGGAAUUCGUAUACAGUAUGUUAUAUUUAACAUUCUUUAGUAUUUGAUGCUUCGAUAGCUAAGUAGGAAACCGGGAUUAGAUACCCCGUUAUUUUUUCUGUAAAUUUUGAUUAUUGAAUUAAUUUGCCUGAGUAUUACGGGUUGAAAAUUUUUGUAAAUUAUAGAAUAUGGUUUAUAAAUUAUUCAGAUACUUAAAACUCAAAAAACUUGGCGGUGCCUUAUUUCCUCCCAGGGGAACCUGUCCUGUAAUCGAUGAUCCACGAUUUAUCUUACUUUUCUUUGAAUUUCUAUUUUUGGUUAUCAGUUUGUAUACCGUCGUCGUCAGAUUACCUUUAAGAGUAAAAAAGUUGUCGGAUAAAUUAGAAGACUAGUUUUGUACAAGUUAUGUAUAGGUUAGUUUUAGUUUUUGAUGUCAGAUCAAGGUGCAGCUUAUAGGAAAGUAGAGAUGGGUUACAAUAUAAAUUUUAUACUAUGAAUACUAACUUGUAAGAGUUAGGUGAAAGCGGACUUGGAAGUAAUGUUAUUUUAAUUCAGUUUAAAUUAGUAAGUUUAUGUGAAUGAAGGUACUAAGGUGUGC